AUUGAACGCUGGCGGCAUGCCUUACACAUGCAAGUCGAACGGUAACAGGUCUUCGGAUGCUGACGAGUGGCGAACGGGUGAGUAAUACAUCGGAACGUGCCCGAUCGUGGGGGAUAACGAAGCGAAAGCUUUGCUAAUACCGCAUACGAUCUACGGAUGAAAGCAGGGGACCGCAAGGCCUUGCGCGAACGGAGCGGCCGAUGGCAGAUUAGGUAGUUGGUGGGAUAAAAGCUUACCAAGCCGACGAUCUGUAGCUGGUCUGAGAGGACGACCAGCCACACUGGGACUGAGACACGGCCCAGACUCCUACGGGAGGCAGCAGUGGGGAAUUUUGGACAAUGGGCGAAAGCCUGAUCCAGUCAUGCCGCGUGCAGGAUGAAGGCCUUCGGGUUGUAAACUGCUUUUGUACGGAACGAAGAGACUCUGGUUAAUACCUGGGGUCCAUGACGGUACCGUAAGAAUAAGCACCGGCUAACUACGUG
rnacentral:rRNA from 1 species